GUGGGUCCCAAGCCUCCAUUUGCACAUCUGUGUGAUGGGGCCUUGUCCAGGGGUAGCUCCUCCUGGAGUGGGUGUAAGUGAGGCUUGAGGAAAGGGCAUUAUGUUUUUCAAAUGCCAGCUCCAUGUCUCCCUCACCCCUGCAGAGAGAGUGUCAAGGCUCAGGAGAAACUCAAGCCAUGUCACCCAACUGCUCAGACUGGUGCGGCUCCUGCUGGAGGAGCAAGCAGCGACUCUGGGCAUGCCCUUGGCACCCUCAGAGGGCACUCCUCCCAGCAUUAGGUCAUUCUUUGCUGAUGGGGGGACCAGCUGACUUUUGGGACUUUCAUUCAGUCUUUCAUCCUAUGACCUCAUCUUUGAGUGCAUGAGAAUAAAGAACCUGGUGGCCUUAGCCCAGGGUCUGUGGUAUGAGGAAGGGGUGGGAAAGCUCAGAAAGAUGUCAGACGGAGGAGGGCAAGACUGCCUCAUCGUUGCAUGAAUUUCUGGGUGGAGAAAAUCACAGGAUUCCUGGUCUCUGACCUCUCAGACAGUCCAGAGAGGAGGAUGAACCUGCAUUCUACCACACUGGCCACCAAGAUUUGGUAUUAAAGCCUGACCCACCUUCUCAAUGUCACACAGAAGCUCUCAAUCUUGGAAUCCACGGAAACGUUAAAAGCUAUGGACAGCCUGGUGCAGUGGCACACACCUAUAAUACAGCAACUUGGGAGGCUGAGGCAGGAGGAUCUCAAGUUUGAGGCCAGCCUCAGCAACUUAACAAGACCCUCAAAAAAAAAAAAAAAAAAAAAGGACUGGGAGUGUAGCUCAGUGGUGAAGCACCCUGGGUUCCCUUCCCAGUACCUAAAUAAAUUAUCUAAUAAAUAAAAGCUGUGGAUGCCCAGGUCCCAUUGCCAGGGAGUCCCAUCUAGGAUGAGGCCUAGGCAUUCAAAGAGUUCCCCAAGGUUUUCUGAUGUGGAGCUGAAGACAAGAACCCCUGAUCUUCUGGCCAUGGAUCCCUAAGCUAGUGGCCUUAGUUUUGCUCUAUCUGUAAAAUCAAAUUUAGAAACUUCACAGGAGUGUUUGGAGGCCUUGAUGCAAUAGCAUGUAUUGAGGUUAACUGUGGACCAUGUGCCCGGGAAGAGUUCUGCAGAAUUCUAAGGUAGGCAGCAUUCCUGAGCGAUAAAAGGGACUCUUGCUUAAUGCACCCUAGAGCUAGCCUGCCUGGGCGUGAAUUGUGUCUUCUUGGGAGUGUCACCCAAACUCUGUUUUCUGGGCUUCCUCACCUGUAACCUGGGUCAGAACAAGACUUAGCUGCCAGGGUUACUGUGGUUCGUUACUACAAGGAUGGAACCAAGCAGUGGUUUUAAGAUCAGGUGAGAUUUUUUUUAUCCCCAGCACCUCAGACAUUUGAUAAUGUCUGGAGACAUUUCGAGCUGUCAUGAUUAGUGAAGCAUGCUACUGGGGUCUGGCGGGUAGAGACUAGGGAUGCUGCUCAGUACGCUACAAUGUAAGAAUGCUACCGGAGAGCUGUUCAUCCCAGGUCAACAGUGUCGAGGUGGAGAAGCACUGAAAUCCAGUGAUGCUUGUAAAGCCCUCAGGAUGUGCUAGGUAUAUAGUAAAAAGCUCAGUAAAGAUGCUCCCUGCCCCCUGCAUCCUAAGUGGCUUGACCCAGGGUGUGGUUCUGUCUGUAAUAGACAUCAGAAUCAAGGCUGGCCAUCACAGGAUAUAGAAUCAACUACCAGAUACAGAGUGUUUAUCCUAUGCCCAGGCCUGUGUCAACAACUUCCUAUGCCUACUCUCCAAGUGACUUUACCCAGACUUGUGAGUUGUCCUGCUAUUAUUAAUUCCAUUUUAGAGGAGGAAACUGAGGGAGGUUCAUAUGUCAUCAAGCUAGUACUGUGCCUAAACUUUAAUCUAUCUGCUUUCAAGGCAUGGGAGAGUAUGUAUAGAAGGUUACCAUUUUGUUUUAGAAAAAGCUGGAGGAGGGAAGGUGUGUUUAUGUAUAAAAUAGUGCUAGGCAGGAGCCAAAACUGGCAAUAAUGGUCAUCUCUGGGGAGAACAGAGGAUCUGGGAACAGGGGUGAGAGCAACUUUUCACUGUUAUAUUUGGAACCCUGUGAAUGUAUUAUCUGCUGUAUUCAAAAUAUAAAUAAAAUUGU
rnacentral:lncRNA from 1 species